rnacentral:tRNA from 1 species
GAGGGUAUAGCUCACGUGGUAGAGCGCAUGCUUAGCAUGCAUGAGGUCCUGGGUUUGAUCCCUAAUAUCUCCC